rnacentral:lncRNA from 1 species
GCCGGCUCCUUGACGAGUACUUUCCGUCGACCGAACUCGUACGUACAAUACCACGUUGAUCGAUUCUUCCUGAGACAAGGUGCACGUACAAAGCUAGCUAGCAAGCAGCCUAGUAGCUGGAUGGAUUUUACUUGGUGUCACCUAGCUUCGAAUACUACUCGGUGUCAGCUAGCUUCGAAUACGAGCCAGAUCAAGUCGCAGACGGAACACUGAAAAAUACACGCACGCAAGACAACACUAAGACGCCGAGAUUGAUGGCUACGGGAGCGUGCCGCUCCCGAAUAUUUCUGUGUAUUGCUUUGAUAUGAGUAUUAUACGGGAAGCUAGUACAUAUAUAUAGUACCUAGACUACAUAGUACAAGCCGACUCGGUCAGGGAUUGAAUCCGUGCCGGACUCAAUUUUGGCUAAUCGUGAUUAGUUCCAAUAAUCACCCCCCUAAGCACGAUGUCCUCACUUCACAGCUUGGACGCCGAUCCUUUCCCGUAUCUCUGUGAACUUCUGUCGUCCCAAAGACUUGGUCAGGAUAUCUGCAAGCUGAUCCUCGGUGCAAACGUAGUUGACUUCAAUCUUGCCUUCUUCCACACACUGCCGUAUGUAGUGAUACCUUAUAUCUAUGUGCUUAGUCCUGUCAUGAUGCACUGGAUUCUUACACAGGGCAAUCGCAGACUUGUUGUCAACAUUGAACACCACCCUUUCUGGUUCUUUAUCUGUGAGGUCACCGAGUAGCCUUUCUAGCCACACACCUUGACCCGCUGCGGUUGCAGCUGCUAUAUACUCUGCUUCGCAGGACGAUAAUGCGACCACCUUCUGUUUUUGUGAUAGCCAAGUUACUAUGCUCCUGCCCAAGAAAUAUGCCAGACCCGAGGUACUUUUACGGUCAUCCACAUCUCCUGCCAGGUCGCUAUCACUGUAGCCAAGUAGCUCCACCAUCUCCUUCUUUUUCUCUCUCAAAUAGACACAACCAAAGUUUGUUGUCCCUUUGAUGUACCUGAGUAUAUGUUUGACAGCUGCCCAAUGUUCAGUCGUGGAUGAUUCCAUGAAGCGACUCACUAUGCCAACGGAAUAGGCCAAGUCCGGUCGUGUAUUCACAAGAUACCUUAGGCUUCCGACCACACUUCUAUAAUCCGUUGCAUCAACCGCAGGGGCUUCACUCCUUUUGCUAAGUUUAAGACGAGGCUCCAUUGGAGCAUAAGUUGGUUUGCAAUCCUCCAUGCUACAACUUUGAAGUAUCUUCUUUGCAUAUGCCUCUUGACAUAGUGUGAUCCCAUUCGGCUUUUGUUGUACCUCGAUCCUGAGGUAGUAUGUCAAGAGCCCUAGAUCACUCAUCUUGAAUAGCUCCUUCAUUUGUAGCUUGAAUCUUGCAAUCUCCUCUUCGUCUGCUCCAGUUAUCAAGAGAUCAUCAACAUAGAUGCCCACUAAGAGACGAUCCUUGCCUUUACCUCGCUUGUACAUAGCAUGUUCGAGUGGACUUUUCUCAAAACCAAGAGAAAUCAAUGUACGGUCAAGCUUGAUGUUCCAUGCCCGAGGAGCUUGAUGUAGCCCAUACAAUGCCUUGUGUAGCUUCAAAACCUUGUGUUCUUCUCCUUCUUUGAUGUACCCCGGUGGUUGCUUCACGUAUACUUCUUCUUCCAACUCCCCGUUCAAAAACGUGGAUUUUACAUCCAUGUGAUGUAGCCUCCAAGAUUCUUGAGCCGCGAGAGCUAUAACUAGCCUCACCGAUUCCAUCCUUGUGACUGGAGCGAACACUUCCUCGAAGUCCACACCUUGCUCUUGCACGAAUCCUUUAGCUACGAGCCGAGCUUUAUGCUUGACCAAGUUUCCUUCGGCAUCCUUCUUGACUUUGUACACCCACUUGAGCCCUAUGGAUUUUUGACCGUUGGGAAGAUCAGCGAGCUCCCAUACUUUGUUGUCUCGUAUUGAUCCCAACUCUUCAUCCAUAGCACGACGCCAACACUCCUCGGUAUUUGCUUCUUCAAAUUUCGUCGGUUCCUCGACGCUAAGCAAACAUUGUCGUCCUCUUAUAACUUUGACAGGAUUAAUAGUACGAAGUGCUUCCUCCGGAUAUAAAUCCACCACUGGUCGAAGACGAAUUGGUGUCGGUGGACGUUCCCUUGUCUCCUGUUCUGUCGAAGACGAGGAAUUUUCAUCUUGUGGAGUUGCCAAACUCCUGUUUUUUGGCGAUCCAGGUUCUCCAGAAUUAGUUGCACGUACAUGUGAACCUUCAAGUCCACGUGCAUGCCUUCCUGUCUCACAACUAGCUUGAGUAGGAGCCAGAUUCUGGCCACGUCCAGGCUGUGGACUUCCAGGCGCAGCUCCCAGGCUGCUCCCCUGUGGUACGUAGUCACUUGGUCGAGCGCUUCGAGCAUUGCUUGGUGUGCUGCACGAGCCAUCGCACGCCUCGUCUGCUGCGUCCUGCUGCGUGCCUUGGCGCGCCUCCGUCGCUGCUUUAUCUGGCGCGUUCAGUUGCGCUGCGUUGUUUGGAGAAUCACUCGGCGUCGUUGUAGUCUCCGGUUGAUUAUCGACAUGCUCGUAUUCGUUGUAAAUAACGUGAAAGAUUUCAUCAGAGAUCGGGUAUACCGGCUCGGUAGAGUUCCAAUUCCAUGACCUUGCUUCUUCAAAGACCACGUCACGCGUCACAACCACCUUAUUGGUAGAGGGGUUGCACGCACGGUACGCCUUCGAGCCUGCUUCAUAGCCAACCAAUAUCAUUGGAGUACUCCGAUCCGCCAACUUACUUGUAUGCCCGGCCACCGUCUUCACAUGCGCCACACACCCGAAAGUACGAAGAUGAUCAACCGCGGGCUUAUGUCCGUACCAUGCUUCGUACGGCGUCAUCCCAACCACACUCUUGGUUGGAGCCCGGUUCAGCAAAUAAACGGCCGUAUUGACCGCCUCACCCCAAAACUUGCCCGGGAUCCCUUUGCUCUUCAUCAUGCUUCGUGCCAUCGCCACCAUGGUUUGAUUCCUCCGUUCCACAACACUGUUUUGCUGCGGUGAAUAUGGCGCCGUAAGAUACCGCUUGAUCCCAUGUGCUUCGCAAAAUUCUGUGAAUUCACGAGACUUGAACUCACCCCCCCGAUCGGUACGGAGGGCCUUCAGCUUGGCUUCGGAUUCUACCUCGGCCGCCAUCUUUACUUUCCUGAAGGCUUGCAAAGCUUGGUCCUUCGUCUUCAACAACACAAUCCACAUGUAUCUGCUGAAGUCGUCGAUGAUGAGUAAGAAGUAUUUGUUCCCAGCCGGGGUAGCCGGUGUAAUGGGUCCGCACAAGUCUCCAUGGACCAACUCAAGAGCUUUACUUGCUCUAAAGUUUCCCUCUCUCGGGAACAAGGCCUGCCUUUGUUUCCCAACAAGGCAACCGUCCCACACUUGCUCAACAUGAUCAAUGCACGGUAGGCCACGUACCAUCUCCCUUUGUCCAAGUUGCCGAAGAGCCUGGAAAUUUAGAUGACCGUAGCGCGCGUGCCACUUCCAUGCCGAGUCCUCCAUGCUUGACAAGAGACAUACUGGAUCCACACGAUCCAAGUUGAGGACGUAGAGUCUGUUUGGCGACCUCUGCACCUUCAUGAUCAGCAUCCUCUGACGGUCAUACCCCCAUAGAUAGCCAUCUUCGAGCACAAUCUUGCAACCACGCUCCUCGAGCUGGCCAAGACUUAUGAUGUUGCUCUUUAGCUUGGGAAUAUAGUACACAUCUGUGAGUACCUUGUGACCGCCAUUCUUCAGCUCAAACAGGACAGUACCUCGCCCUGUGAUGUCAACGGUCCGCCCGUCACCGAACCGAACCGUGCCUCCAACCGAGAGAUUUAGCUCAGAAAACUGGUCCUUGUCACCGGUCAUGUGGUUGCUUGCUCCCGUGUCGAGGUACCACACGUGCCUCGCCGUGUUCACCCUCUUCUUGUCAUGAAGGUAAACCUUCUCUUCGUCGAGCGUGACAACCUCGGUAGCCGGUGCCUUCGGAGCUGGACCAUCCUCGUCCAUAAGCUCGCAUACUUCGACCAUGAGCAUCACAUCGCUAUCAUCGCCUCCCUUGGCCAUGAGUGAUUUUUCCUUCGGUGGACUCUUGCAAUCAGACUUGAAGUGACCGAGGAUUCCACAAUUGUGACACCUUACUUUUUUUAUGUCAAAUUUUCUCCUUGGUUUUCUAGCCUUUUCUUCCUGUCCAGCGAGGUCCUUUUUCGCCGGGCUUUGCUUCUCCUUUGCUUUACUACCGCUUGUGGAUCCACCUUGUUUUCCUUUCGACAGGGCCAUCCAUUGCGCCAUUGUAACCAUGAGAUGCUCACUCUCCUUCGAAUCGCCGAAGCUGAGACGAAUUCUCUCGUCGUGGGCCUUGAACCUUCCGACGAGAUCCUCGACCGUGAGAGUGUUCAGGUCAAGACAUUGCUCGAUCGACGUGACGAUUUGGAUGUAGCGCGCCGGCGCGGCGCGCAAAAAUCGUCGGACGAUCGCAACUUCUUCUAGGGUUGAACCAUAGCCGCGUAUGCCGUUGACGAGGGUCUUGAGACGGGCGGCAAACUGAUCAACCGUCUCGCUUUCCUCCAUCUUCAGGCACUCGUAGCUUCUCAUCAGAGACUGAAGGUGUGCGUCCUUGACACGGUCAUGACCCUGGUGCAGGAUCUUGAUGGUCUCCCAUGCCUCCUUCGCCGUUUUCUUUCCGACGAGGUGUUGUAGCACAUCCUUCGGCAUGGCGGAGUAGAUCGCCGUUAACGCCCGACGAUCCGUCCGGUACUUUGCCGCGCCUUUCGCGUACUCGGCGCCGCUGGGAUCGACGGCUUUCCAGAACUCCGCUCCCUCCAUCGCGACCUCCAUGUUCAUCGCCCAUAGUGCGUAGUCCUCUCGAUCCAGUCGGGGGAAUUGCGACCCCCCAACCAUCGGCAUCUGUGCUUUAGCUCCCGCCACAACGAUCUCCUUGCCCGGGUUUGACAUGAUCCUUCGAUUGCUUUCCGAAGAUCACGCCAAUAAACCAAGCUCUAGAUACCAAUUGUUGACACAUGCCCGAUCAAGCGUUGUACGCCGGCUCCUUGACGAGUAUUUUCCGUCGACCGAACUCGUACGUACAAUACCACGUUGAUCGAUUCUUCCUGAGACAAGGUGCACGUACAAAGCUAGCUAGCAAGCAGCCUAGUUGCUGGAUGGAUUUUACUUGGUGUCAGCUAGCUUCGAAUACUACUCGGUGUCAGCUAGCUUCGAAUACGAGCCAGAUCAAGUCGCCGGCGGAACACUGAAAAAUACACGCACGCAAGACAACACUAAGACGUCGAGAUUGAUGGCUACGGGAGCGUGUCGCUCCCGAAUAUUUCUGUGUAUUGCUUUGAUCUGAGUAUUACAGGGGGAGCUAGUACAUAUAUAUAUAUAGUACCUAGACUACAUAGUACAAGCCGACUCGGCCAGGGAUUGAAUCC